AACUUUCAACAAUGGAUCUCUUGGCUCUCGCAUCGAUGAAGAACGCAGCGAAAUGCGAUAAGUAAGGUGAAUUGCAGAAUUCAGUGAAUCAUCGAAUCUUUUAACGCACCUUGCACCCUUUGGUAUUCCGAAGGGUACACCCGUUUGAGUGUCAUUGUAAUCUCACUUCGACUCUUUUGUGUCGAAUGUGGACUUGGAUGUUGCCGUGUCAAUACUGCUCAUCUCAAAUGCUUCAGUGUACCUUGCGUUUGCAGUGUAUCCGGUGUAAUAAACGUUUCACCAGAGUUGGUCGCAAGACCGCAUUGUCAUUACGAGCUCUAUGCUUUCUCAACCGUCUUUGGACUGUGGUUUACCACACUUGACAAUUUGACCUCAAAUCGGGUGGGACUACCCGCUGAACUUAAGCAUAUCAAUAAGCGGAGGCU
rnacentral:misc_RNA from 1 species